GAUGAACGCUAGCUACAGGCUUAACACAUGCAAGUCGAGGGGAAACGAUAUUGGAAGCUUGCUUCUGAUAGGCGUCGACCGGCGCACGGGUGAGUAACGCGUAUCCAACCUGCCCAUCACUUGGGGAUAACCUUGUGAAAGUAAGACUAAUACCCAAUGACGUCUCUAGAAGACAUCUGAAAGAGAUUAAAGAUUUAUCGGUGAUGGAUGGGGAUGCGUCUGAUUAGCUUGUUGGCGGGGUAACGGCCCACCAAGGCGACGAUCAGUAGGGGUUCUGAGAGGAAGGUCCCCCACAUUGGAACUGAGACACGGUCCAAAACUCCUACGGGAGGCAGCAGUGAGGAAUAUUGGUCAAUGGACGAGAGUCUGAACCAGCCAAGUAGCGUGCAGGAUGACGGCCCUAUGGGUUGUAAACUGCUUUUAUAAGGGAAUAAAGUGGGAGUCGUGACUCUUUUUGCAUGUACCUUAUGAAUAAGAACCGGCUAAUUCCGUGCCAGCAG
rnacentral:rRNA from 1 species